UACAGAGGUCUCAAGCGUUGUUCGGAUUCAUUGGGCGUAAAGGGUGCGUAGGCGGCGCGGUAAGUCGGGUGUGAAAGUUUUCGGCCCAACCGGAAAAUUGCCUUUGAUACUGGCGAGCUUGAGUGCGUGAGGGAUGGGGGGAACGAGCAGUGUAGCGGUGAAAUGCGUAGAUAUUGCUCGGAAGGCCAGAGCCGAAGGGGCCCCAUUGGUACGUAACUGACGCUGAGGCACGAAAGCGUGGGGAGCAAACAGG
rnacentral:rRNA from 1 species